UACAGAGGUCCCAAGCGCUGUUCGGAUUUACUGGGCGUAAAGGGUGCGUAGGCGGUUGAAUAAGUUUGACGUGAAAUCUCCGGGCCUAACCCGGAAACUGCGUUGGAUACUGUUCAGCUAGAGGAAUGGAGGGGAGACUGGAAUACUUGGUGUAGCAGUGAAAUGCGUAGAUAUCAAGUGGAACACCAGUGGCGAAGGCGAGUCUCUGGACAUUUCCUGACGCUGAGGCACGAAAGCCAGGGGAGCAAACGGG
rnacentral:rRNA from 1 species